ensembl:lncRNA
GGGCUCAGCUGCAAUUUUGCUGCCACAAAUGCAGAAGGCAUCAGCAGUUGUUGUUCAUCAGCGUCCUUUCCGAAGGACACAAAAAUUACAGCCAUAAACCUGGGAGCAGGAGGCAGUGGAUGAGCCACACCAGCCACAGAGGGAGCUGGGGUGUCGGGUUGGUUUGCUGCCUUCUGUGCUGUUAGUUUCGUGAUUAGAUCAAGGCUCCAAGACAUGGUUUUGUUGCUGGCUCUGGGGCAGGUUUGCUGUGUGACACUGGAUGCACGUCCUUCCUCAUCAACCCCAAGAAUUGCUGCUGUUUGCUUCUACAUCCAUGCAUCUUCAUCCACCAGUAUAUCUGAAUGCGAAGACAAGGCAGGAAAUCAUCCCCACAGAAUGGAAAGGAAGUGGCAGGAGGCUGGAAGAGAUCGUAGUGCACUACACUGAAGAGACUUGCCCAGACCUGACUUGGGAAGGACCGGGAUAGGAGGCACAGAAGGAAGAGGUACUGCAGAGCUCUGCAUGGCCCCACAGAUGGUCACAGAAUCAUGGAAUGGCUUGGGUUAGAAAGGACCUUAUACCUGGAUGCAGAGCUUUUCACCUCGUGGCUGGUUAUUCCAAAAGGAGUCCUGGUGAGCAGAAACCACCUCAUUAAAAUCCACGUUCUCAGGUCAAGUCAGGCCUUACAGCGCAGGGAUCCUCUCAAAACAGAUUAAAACCAGCAUCAUAAAAAUGUGAUUGUGCCUGCCUUAUUUAGCACCCCUAAUGCAACUCAGGACAAGCAAAUACUUAGAAGCAACCCGCAGUCCAGGUUUUAUACUACAGGCUGUAUCCCCUGGAUGGGGAAAUGCCCUGCUUCCAUCCUUUUAGGGGUUUUCAACUUUCCAUUCAGCAAUUCCUUCUGCACAUCCAUAGAUGAACUCUGAAAGAAGGCAGGAGGAGGAGAAAAGUCUCUCUGCAGAGUGCAGUAUUACAC